rnacentral:rRNA from 1 species
ACCUGAUGUCGGCAUCCGGCUCCCUCGACCGGGAUAACUCCGGGAAACCGGAGCUAAUACCGGAUAACACCGAAGACCGCAUGGUCUUCGGUUGAAAGGCGGCCUUUGGGCUGUCACUUGCGGAUGGGCCCGCGGCGCAUUAGCUAGUUGGUGAGGUAACGGCUCACCAAGGCGACGAUGCGUAGCCGGCCUGAGAGGGUGACCGGCCACACUGGGACUGAGACACGGCCCAGACUCCUACGGGAGGCAGCAGUAGGGAAUCUUCCGCAAUGGGCGAAAGCCUGACGGAGCGACGCCGCGUGAGCGAAGAAGGCCUUCGGGUCGUAAAGCUCUGUUGUGAGGGACGAAGGAGCGCCGUUUGAAGAGGGCGGCGCGGUGACGGUACCUCACGAGAAAGCCCCGGCUAACUACGUGCCAGCAGCCGCGGUAAUACGUAGGGGGCGAGCGUUGUCCGGAAUUAUUGGGCGUAAGCGCGCGCAGGCGGUCUCUUAAGUCUGAUGUGAAAGCCACGGCUCAACCGUGGAGGGUCAUUGGAAACUGGGGGACUUGAGGGCAGGAGAGGAGAGCGGAAUUCACGUGUAGCCGUGAAAUGCGUAGAGGAUGUGAGGAACACCAGUGGCGAAGGCGGCUCCUCUGGCCUGCACCUGACGCUGAGGCCGCGAAAGCGUGGGGGAGCAAACAGGAAUAAGAUACCCUGGGUAGUCCACGCCCGUAAACGAAUGAGUGCUAAGGUGUUUGGGGUUCACACCCUUUAUGGCUGACGCUAACGCGAUAAGCACUUCCCGCCUGGGAGAUACCGGCCCGCAAGGCUUGAACCUCAAAGGAAUUGAGCGGGGCCCGCCACACGCGGGUGGAC